AGUGAACGCUGGCGGUAGGCCUAACACAUGCAAGUCGAACGGCAGCUCAGUAAGAGCUUGCUCUUACGGGUGGCGAGUGGCGGACGGGUGAGGAAUACAUCGGAAUCUACUUUUUCGUGGGGGAUAACGUAGGGAAACUUACGCUAAUACCGCAUACGACCUACGGGUGAAAGCAGGGGAUCUUCGGACCUUGCGCGAUUGAAUGAGCCGAUGUCGGAUUAGCUAGUUGGCGGGGUAACGGCCCACCAAGGCGACGAUCCGUAGCUGGUCUGAGAGGCUGAUCAGCCACACUGGAACUGAGACACGGUCCAGACUCCUACGGGAGGCAGCAGUGGGGAAUAUUGGACAAUGGGCGCAAGCCUGAUCCAGCCAUACCGCGUGAGUGAAGAAGGCCUUCGGGUUGUAAAGCCCUUUUGUUGGGAAAGAAAAGCAGCAGGUUAAUACCCCGCUGUUCUGACGGUACCCAAAGAAUAAGCACCGGCUAACUUCGUG
rnacentral:rRNA from 1 species